rnacentral:rRNA from 1 species
UACGGAGGGUGCGAGCGUUAAUCGGAAUAACUGGGCGUAAAGGGUGCGUAGGUGGUUGAAUAAGUUAUGUGUAAAAUCCCCGGGCUCAACCUGGGCAGGUCAUAUAAAACUGUUUGACUCGAGUAUGGGAGAGGGUAGUGGAAUUUCCGGUGUAGCGGUGAAAUGCGUAGAGAUCGGAAGGAACACCAGUGGCGAAGGCGGCUACCUGGCCUAAUACUGACACUGAGGCACGAAAGCGUGGGGAGCAAACAGG